AGGAUGAACGCUGGCGGUCUGCUUAACACAUGCAAGUCGAACGGAGUACCUCGGUACUUAGUGGCGGACGGGUGAGUAACGCGUGAGAAUCUGCCCUUAGGUCGGGGACAACCAUUGGAAACGAUGGCUAAAUACCGGAUAAGCCGAGAGGUAAAAGAUUAAUUGCCUAGGGAAGAGCUCGCGUCUGAUUAGCUAGUUGGUGAGGUAAAGGCUCACCAAGGCAUCGAUCAGUAGCUGGUCUGAGAGGAUGAUCAGCCACACUGGGACUGAGACACGGCCCAGACUCCUACGGGAGGCAGCAGUGGGGAAUUUUCCGCAAUGGGCGAAAGCCUGACGGAGCAAGACCGCGUGAGGGAGGAAGGCUCUUGGGUUGUAAACCUCUUUUCUUGGGAAGAACAAAUGACGGUACCAAGGAAUCAGCAUCGGCUAACUCCGCGCCAGCAGCCGC
rnacentral:rRNA from 1 species